rnacentral:rRNA from 1 species
UACGAAGGGUCCAAGCGUUGUUCGGAAUCAUUGGGCGUAAAGCGCGCGCAGGCGGAUCAGUAAGUCAGGUGUGAAAUCUCGAGGCUCAACCUCGAAAUUGCGCCUGAAACUACUAGUCUAGAGUGUCGGAGGGGGCAGGGGAAUUUCAUGUGUAGGGGUAAAAUCCGUAGAGAUGUGAAGGAACACCGGAGGCGAAAGCGCCUGCCUGGACGACUACUGACGCUGAGGCGCGAAAGCGUGGGGAGCAAACAGG